AUGGAAAAAUACAUGAACUCCUUCUCUGCAAGGACCAUACUUUGUAAUCUUCUCCUGUGCUCUAUGAUCCAUACACAGUGCCAAAUCAUGGAAGGACAAGAAAAUGAGAAAAUAAAUUUACCAACUGGAUUAUGUGUCUAUGAAGAAAAAAAUGUGGGCUGCAAAGACAAGUCAUUUUGUUUCUGUUGUUUGGUGACCAACUUGUGCUAUGUUGCAAUAGAUAUAUGCAAGAGUGAAUGUGUAAAGCAUUCUUCAUUAGGCAUAGAGGCUUCAAAGAAACAUCGUGAAUCGCCUUCCAAUGUAAUGUACUGA
rnacentral:rRNA from 1 species